rnacentral:ncRNA from 1 species
GCCUUGCGCCUGAAAGGGCGACGGCGUCGAGCCGGAGCGGGGUCUCAGCAGAGGUCAUAGUAGUCGGAGGUAGCGCCGGGAAGGCUUGAGUCCGCCGACGAAGGAC